rnacentral:misc_RNA from 1 species
AAAAAAUACAACGGUAAAGUGCUGGCAUUACAUCGACUUUUAUCGAAUAAGAAAUAUCGCAAACUGGAUGAAAACGUUGACUAUAUAGAAUUUGUGCAAAAAGGGUUUAUGUAUCUUUUAUCAAUUGGAAGACAGGAGUACAAUAAGACGGACAAAGCGAAAUGCGAUUUUUUGAUCAGGAGAAUUCGAAUCGUUGAAGAUGCAUUAAUUAGAACCAUUAUUUUGGGCGAAGACUUCACAAAAAUCAUUGCACAAUCGGAGCACCUCCUGGAACGAUUUUUCCCCAAAAUUUUAUUUUAA